AAGACCUAAUUUUAUACCAUUCUUUCCCUUCCUACAUUCAAUGAACUUGUACACUGUGCAUUACGAACUUGUGUGUUCCCUUUCAUCGGUCAUCGAUACUAGACGUUAUUUAUCCUUCACCCUUUCAAUUUCCCUUCUCCCUAAUAUACAUUCAUUGAAUGUAAGGCAGCCAAAUCGAAUGUCCUUCCAUUUUCCAUCUGCAGUCUUCAACGAUGGAGAGGGAAACAGAUGUGAGAGUAGGGGAGAAUUCCACCGGUCACCACCGUUGAUUGAAUAUAUAUCGGUUGACAAGUUCUGGGUCUUGUUCUGCUUUUUCACAGCUUUCAAUUUGCGUUUUUAACCCUAAGGAAUAAAGAAAACAGGGGUCACACGUAUCAUACGAGUCAAGAACUGCAAUGGAAACCACCUGUAGGAGUUACUCUCGAAACAUGGAAGACGAAUAUUAAAUGUUUAUCCGUCACAUGAACCCGCCACGAGGGUAACGAAUCAGGCAUAGAAGACCCUGAUCAAUGGCAUGCCCACAAGGUGUUUGUGUUAUUGCCUGAAAGAAACCGAUUGUUUGAUUUAGUGUUUUAUUGAAACAAGUGGACCGAGCUAACAAGCAUGGCAUUCUUUGGGAAGUUGUGAAAGUGCUCACUGAUCUAAACUUCAUUGUUAUAAAACACACAUUAUUGUUAAAGAAUUGUUUUAUUUACUACUAUCAUUUGUUUUAUUUUGAUGAUUAUGAAUUUAUUUAUAUUUCACCGAAUAGCAGAGAUGUUUUACAACACCGGUCACCAUCACGACUCUUCCUCUUCCAAUUCAUCCUCUCAUAACGUCGACUGUUAGGUUCAAGUGGGCGGAUCACCAAAAAAUAAGGUUGUGGAUCACCAAAAAUAAGGUUGAGACGAAGUUAGGCAAAGGUGUACCUCCUCAGAUAUGUGCAGGUCAUCGUGUUUUUGGUAACUGAUAUCAGGUCCCGGAGCCAUGGAGGUUAAUAAUUUCUUUAUCAAGCAAUUGAGUUAAGAUGCUACAAUAAUAUCGUUUUUUCUUUUCUGAAAUCGGAUUUUAGCCUACUUAUUUUCCAUAUUGUUUUUGUAACAGGCUGGCAGCUAUGGUUCUCCACGUAUACAUAUAUUUGAAUAAUUAUAAUUACUAAUUAUAAUAUUAUGAAAAAUAGUUAAAUUAUAUAUAAUAAUUAUAGUUUAUAUAAAAAAUUAUAAUUAAUAAACAAGCCAAACUUGAGUAGAGCUCGAACUUGAAAAAUUAUCUACGACUUGAGCUCGAGUUUUCAUAAGUUAAAACGAGCUCUAUACUCGUUUGAAGUAGACUAUUAUCAGUGCUCAUAUUCAUCUCAUCAUCAGGUAUGAUAGAUUAGCUGUGAGCAAAUUAGUUACCAGCUAAACAAGGGGUACAGUGCGUUAACCUUUUGUUCAAUGGUUGUUGAUUCGUUACACCAGUCAGGCAUUGUUAUUCUUAUCAUUCAAUAUAUUUUUUUAAACUAAGGUACAGGUUGGCUAAGUUCUUACUCACUGUCAUUUGUGUGAUACAUUUUAUAGGCUAAUCAGAGAAUCAAGUAUGAAUAAUCAAAGUGGGGACCGCUCAUUUUUUGACUAUCUAGAAGGUUGUCUCCGCCACAAAGAAGAGAUGUUAUAUUUGAAGCCACAAAGCAGAGAUGUUAUAUUUGAAGCGGCCAGGGCAAUAACGGAACUAAAAGGUAACAGAAUAUUCUAAAUAAAAGAAUCCUUGAUUCCUCUUGGUGACAACUCAGGCUCUUCAAGCAUCUCACUUAAGGAUGACAUUUCCGGUUGGGUUUAUUUAGUUGGCUCUUAUAGUAUAUCAUUUGUUUUCAGUCUGGUUAGUCAAAGGUCUCUAACAUUCUUGUUAUUGAUUUCUGUACUAAUAUAUGUAUGCACAUGUUUUAGUAUUACACACCGUUCAGGUGUAAAUAAUAGAAUAUCUAAUGGCAUUGAUGGCAGCAGUUAAAAACUUACCCCACCGUGAAGUGCGGGUGAUUUUAUAUAUAUACACAACU